rnacentral:rRNA from 1 species
CGAAAGUCAGAGGUUCGAAGGCGAUCAGAUACCGCCCUAGUUCUGACCAUAAACGAUGCCACCUGACGAUCCACCAGGGUUACUACCAUGACUCGGCGGGCAGCCCCCGGGAAACCCAAGCCUUCGGGUUCCGGGGGAAGUAUGGUUGCAAAGCUGAAACUUAAAGGAAUUGACGGAAGGGCACCACCAGGAGUGGAGCCUGCGGCUUAAUUUGACUCAACACGGGAACCUCACCCGGCCCGGACACCGCGAGGAUUGACAGAUUGAGAGCUCUUCUCG